rnacentral:misc_RNA from 1 species
UUAUUAUUAUUAUUAUUAUUAUUGGUUCUGAUGUUAUAGAGCUGCUAUGCUGGUUUGAUUUUUCAUAUAGCUUUGCGAAAUAUUUGUGGUUGCUUGCUUUUUGUCCAUAGCCAGUUGGUCUCUUUUUUCUCAAGGCUUGGUUAAGAACCCAGCUGCAAAGAAAAUAAAAAGGGAAAAAAGAAAUAAGGUUAUUAAGUAAUGUCUUUUAUUUGGCAUUGUAGCACAACCAUUUUGCAGUGUUGUUAAAAGUGCUAGGCUCCCUUAAGGCGAGAAGGUCUUCCAUUGUUGAGGCGCUAAGCGCUUGCCUAGGAGCUUGUCUGAGCAAAGUGAGGCGCUAAUUUAUUCUAAAAUAAUAAAUAAUUAUAUAUACAAUGUAAAAAAGUCUUAC